rnacentral:rRNA from 1 species
UACGAAGGGGGCGAGCGUUGUUCGGAAUUACUGGGCGUAAAGGGCUCGUAGGCGGCCAACUAAGUCAUACGUGAAAUCCCUCAGCUUAACUGGGGAACUGCGUGUGAUACUGGAUGGCUUGGAUUUGGGAGAGGGAUGCGGAAUUCCAGGUGUAGCGGUGAAAUGCGUAGAUAUCUGGAGGAACACCGGUGGCGAAGGCGGCAUCCUGGACCAACACUGACGCUGAGUGAGCGAAAGCCAGGGGAGCAAACGGG